UACGUAGGUGGCAAGCGUUGUCCGGAUUUACUGGGCGUAAAGAGCGCGCAGGCGGUCGUUCAAGUCGCGUGUGAAAGCCCCCGGCUCAACUGGGGAGGGUCACGCGAUACUGAUCGACUCGAAGGCAGGAGAGGGAAGUGGAAUUCCCGGUGUAGUGGUGAAAUGCGUAGAUAUCGGGAGGAACACCGGUGGCGAAGGCGACGUCCUGGACCGGCAUUGACGCUGAGGCGCGAAAGCCAGGGGAGCAAACGGG
rnacentral:rRNA from 1 species